GAUGACAGACUGAGAGCUCUUUCUCGAUUCGGUGGGUGGUGGUGCAUGGCCGUUCUUAGUUGGUGGAGCGAUCUGUCUGGUUAAUUCCGAUAACGAACGAGACCCCAACCUGCUAACUAGCCCUCGGGUCUGGCUUCUGGCGGGCCCGACGGAAUGAUUCGCUUCUUAGAGGGACUCGCGGCGCCUAGCCGCACGAAGGGGGGCGAUAACAGGUCUGUGAUGCCCUUAGAUGUUCGGGGCUGCACGCGCGCUACACUGAAGGCAUCAGCGUGCGCUUUGUCCGUUCCCUGCCUGAAAAGGCUGGGUAACCCGCUGAACCGCCUUCGUGCCUGGGAUAGGGAUUUGCAAUUAUCUCCCUUGAACGAGGAAUUCCCAGUAGGCGCGAGUCAUCAGCUCGCGUCGAUUACGUCCCUCCCCUUUGUAA
rnacentral:rRNA from 1 species